rnacentral:rRNA from 1 species
UACGUAUGGAGCAAGCGUUAUCCGGAUUUACUGGGUGUAAAGGGAGCGUAGACGGACUUGCAAGUCUGAUGUGAAAGGCUGGGGCUCAACCCCGGGACUGCAUUGGAAACUGUAGGUCUUGAGUGCCGGAGAGGUAAGUGGAAUUCCUAGUGUAGCGGUGAAAUGCGUAGAUAUUAGGAGGAACACCAGUGGCGAAGGCGGCUUACUGGACGGUAACUGACGUUGAGGCUCGAAAGCGUGGGGAGCAAACAGG